rnacentral:tRNA from 1 species
AGAGAUUUAAGUUAAUAAAACUAAAGGCCUUCAAAGUUUUAAAUAAGAAUAUAAAGUUUUCUUAAUCUUUA